rnacentral:snRNA from 1 species
AGCUUUGUUCAGUGGUAGUAUUGUAGCCAAUGAGGUUUAUCCAAGGCNAUUAUUGCUAAUUGAAAACUUUUCCCAAUACUCUGCCAUGACGACUUGAAAUAUAGUGGGCACUGGCAAUUUUUGACAGUUUCUACAUUUAAAAAA